rnacentral:rRNA from 1 species
GAUGAACGCUGGCGGCGUGCCUAAUACAUGCCAGUCGAGCGAACGGACGAGAAGCUUGCUUCUCUGAUGUUAGCGGCGGACGGGUGAGUAACACGUGGAUAACCUACCUAUAAGACUGGGAUAACUUCGGGAAACCGGCGCUAAUACCGGAUAAUAUUUUGAACCGCAUGGUUCAAAAGUGAAAGACGGUCUUGAUGUCACUUAUAGAUGGAUCCGCGCUGCAUUAGCUAGUUGGUAAGGUAACGGCUUACCAAGGCAACGAUGCAUAGCCGACCUGAGAGGGUGAUCGGCCACACUGGAACUGAGACACGGUCCAGACUCCUACGGGAGGCAGCAGUAGGGAAUCUUCCGCAAUGGGCGAAAGCCUGACGGAGCAACGCCGCGUGAGUGAUGAAGGUCUUCGGAUCGUAAAACUCUGUUAUUAGGGAAGAACAUAUGUGUAAGUAACUGUGCACAUCUUGACGGUACCUAAUCAGAAAGCCACGGCUAACUACGUG